rnacentral:rRNA from 1 species
UACGAAGGGGGCUAGCGUUGCUCGGAAUCACUGGGCGUAAAGCGCACGUAGGCGGAUUGUUAAGUCAGGGGUGAAAUCCUGGAGCUCAACUCCAGAACUGCCUUUGAUACUGACGGUCUUGAGUUCGGGAGAGGUGAGUGGAACUGCGAGUGUAGAGUGAAAUUCGUAGAUAUUCGCAAGAACACCAGUGGCGAAGGCGGACUCAACUGGCCCGAUACGUGACGCUG